rnacentral:lncRNA from 1 species
AAAAAAAAAAAAAAAGUGUGCACCACCAUACCUCCCCUGGUUUUCUGUGCUGCAGUAGGUCUCACAUACCUUGGGGCUGGUCUCAACUCCCGAAUGUGGGAUCACAGGUGUGCAUACCAUCACUACCAGCUCUGUGGAAGCUGAUUGGCCAUUCCUUGAAUUCCCAAAUCAUGCCAGUGGGAAUUUUCAGUUUUGAAAAGAGUACUCAAUAUUCUAAUUAUUAACUAAAUAACAAAAAGAAUCCUUUGCCACAGUUCCAAGACACCCUAGGCUACAUAGCAAAACCAAGUCAAAUGCAAAGUUUUUAAAGACAAGAUUAGGACUCCUGAAAAUUAUUAAAAGACUGGCAAAACAAAUGUCUGUCUCUGAACAUUUUCCUGAGAUGUUGUUAGCACUACACAAACAAGCAGACUUGGAGCUUGCUGGGGCCUGCGUUGCUGGCACAUACUUGAGACCAGGCACCUGUGCCCUGUGUCUUCAGUUGUUUAAGACAAGACAGGACCUCCCACUGAAGCGGAAACUACAUAUUCAGCAAGACUAGAAACCUCAAUCGUCAGCCUGUCUCUUCCCCAGUACGAGGACUGGAAGCAUGCACAGCACACCCAGCUUCUCAUGUCAGUGCUACAGAUCAUGCCUACAUAGCAUAACAUGUUUACAUGUUACAUAGGAUCGUGUUUGCCUUGACAUCCCAGGCUGGCCUCUACCUCACAGCAAUCCACCUGUAUAUCUCCUGAGUGUUUAGAUUAAAACUGUGUGCCAGGCUCAUUCUGUACAUUGUAAAUUCUUCUAGCUUCUACCAAUUCUUCCGAUGGGAUGAAUAUUAAGCAUCCUAGAGACCAAGACACAGUUGUACACUUGUGUAAUCCCAGCCUGGGAAAUGUUGAAGCUCUUACAUAACAAGCUCUUAUCUAAAGAUAAAAGGGCCUAGGCUAAAAGUGCUCGGUGACAGAGCACUUACCCAGCAUAUGUGAGGAGCAUCUUGAAUCCAUCCUUAGCACUACUAAAAACAAGGAAAAAUAUAGUGCCCUAAGGAAGUUAGACUUUAAAACUGACUAAGUGACUCACUAAACUACUACUCCUUGGUCACUUCCGUCCCUGCCAUCCUCUCUAUGGGAAGACGUCCCAGGCAGGCUGUUACUGUCUCUUCUAUCUUCCAAGGAGAGAACUAGUGUCUGGCACUUAGAACCUAAACUCACUUAGAACCUUUUUUUUUUUUUUUUUUUUUUUUGGUUUUUCGAGACAGGGUUUCUCUGUGUAGCCAUGGCUGUCCUGGAACUCACUCUGUAGACCAGGCUGGCCUCUACUCAGAAAUCCGCCUACCUCUGCCUCCCAAGUGCUUGGAUUAAAGGCGUGUGCCGCCACUGCAGGGCGAACCUCUUAACUCUUGAGGAAGUGGGCUGGGUAAGGAGGUGGCCAUAGCUUUUCUCGGGUCUAAAAACUUGAGGCUCUUGGGGUUCCCUCUUUAUCCCACAAAAAUAGGCUCCCACUCACUGGGCCUCCUGCUAAAGCUCUUGCAGCACGCAGUUGCUCCUCUGGACCACGAUCUUGAAAGGAAGCUCUGUAAAUCUCUGCAGUUUUAAUGUUGACAGCUGCAAGGGACAAGGGAGUGACUUUAAAUCGACAAAGAUCCAAAUCAGACUUCACAUUUCUAGCACUCCACAUAAGAAGCAGAAACAGAAAGGAACGGGAGCUGAAGGAAGUCUGAGGUGCUGACAACCUCUGAACCAGCACAGAGAGAAGAACAGCCCCAGACCUGCUCUGGACCCUUGCGGCAUGUGGUUUCAGAACUCUGCUGCGACCACAGACACUUGUGAGGCUGCAAAGUGACAGAGAAUAAAAUAAGAAGUGCCUGUGUGCUCACCACCCAGCUAGCUAAACAAGGAUACACCAGAAGCCCUUUGCAAUUUGCUAGCCUCAGAACUGAAGAGAGGAGGACCCUGGGCUUCCUUACUUCAUUCCCAGAAUAUAUAGAGAUCCAAAUACCUCACACCUUCCCCAUGAGCACUGGCUAGGGGGGAAAAACGCCAGACCCCUCCCCUCCAGUGAGGCAGUGUGACACUGUGACAUGUGACACUGUGCUACAGGAAUGAGUGUGGGGUGCAUAGCCUGUGCUGUACACUGGCAUUAACAACCUCACAGCUAAAAGGUUAGUCAAGGUUGGCCUCUUGCCCAGGGUUUCCAAACUCACCAACAGACCUUUAACCUAACACAGUCUGCUAUGCCCACAUGCACACCAUAUAACCCUCGGAUACAAACGCUACUUACCGAUGCCAUAAAUGAUUGGAAAGUGAUUUUCAUUUUCUUCACGGUCAUUUAACUCUAAGAAACAAAGGGAAGUAGAAGCACUAAGCAGUUGUUCCUCAUAGAGGAGAAGCUCAGUCAGUGCAGAGCCCCAGGGGGCACUGGCCAGCCCAGCCCGCCCAGGAACAGAGAAACCAGACAGCGUGCCUCUGCAGAAGCAGCAUGAACAUCCAGGUCAGUUGGGUAGGACCCGGUGGCAAGACGUCUGCCUAGUGAUAAGGAGUAGUGGGCACAAGGCAUCCAAUAGGUGAUGGCGGUUAAGAGCACUGACUGCUCUUCCAAAGGUCCUGAGUUCAAUUCCCAGCAACCACACGGUGGCUUGAAACCAUCUGUAAUGGGAUCUGAAUCCAUCAACAGUGUACUCACAUAAAAAAAUAAAUAUUAAAGU